AUUGAACGCUGGCGGCAGGCCUAACACAUGCAAGUCGAACGAGUGGCGGACGGGUGAGCAAUGUCUGGGAAACUGCUCGACGGAGGGGGAUAAAUACCGGAAACGGUAGCUAAUACCGCAUACCAUCGGAUGUGCCCAGAUGGUAUUAGCUAGUAGGUGGGGUAACGGCUCACCUAGGCGACGAUCCCUAGCUGGUCUGAGAGGAUGACCCGCCACACUGGAACGGAGAAACGGUCCGGACUCGUACGGGAGGCAGUAGUGGGGAAUAUUGCACAAGGGGCGCAAGCCUGAUGCAGUCAUUCCGCGUGUAUGAAGAAGGCCGUCGGGUUGUAAAUUACUUUCAGGGAGGAGGCGGUACUCGCAGAAGAAGCACCGGCGAACUCCGUGCCAGCAGCCGCGGUAAUUC
rnacentral:rRNA from 1 species